GAUGAACGCUAGCUACAGGCUUAACACAUGCAAGUCGAGGGACCGGCGCACGGGUGAGUAACACGUAACCAACCUGACCUUUACGCGGGGAUAGCCUUACGAAGGAAAGAUUAAUACCCGAUAUAAAGGAUGGGGAUGCGUUCCAUUAGGUUGUGGGUGAGGUAACGGCUAACCAAGCCUGCGAUGGAUAGGGGUUCUGAGAGUAAGGUCCCCCACAUUGGAACUUAGACACGGUCCAAACUCCGACGGGAGGCAGCAGUGAGGAAUAUUGGUCAAUGGGCGGUAGCCUGAACCAGCCAAGUAGCGUUAAGGAUGAAGGCUUAUGGGUCGUAAACUUCUUUUAUAUAAGAAUAUGUAUUAUAUGAAUAAGGAUCGGCUAACUCCGUGCCAGCAGCCGCGGUAAUUC
rnacentral:rRNA from 1 species